CGGGGAUGAAAAGGAAAAUUCGUGCGUUUGGCAAAUUCUGCUCGAGAUUUGACAAAUCACAUGUGGGAAAUAUGGAGGGAUUUCCUAAUCCAAAAUCCCGAGUUCAAAUCCUAUCAUAAUUGGCUGAAUUGUGCAACAAGUGUGAGAAAUUGCAUUUGCUGCUCGCCAAAUCUCCUCGACAAAUACACCCAUAUCAGUUUUCUAACGAAAGUGGGAAAAGAAGGCCAUCCAUCCAAGUUUCGCUUAUUAUUGCCAUCUCUGCCUUUCAAUCUAAGACUCGGUGUUGUUCCAAUAAAGGUAUAGUCUCAACCUAUCCUUUCUUUUCAAUUUUUUUUUCAAUAACAAUUUAUGACUUCAGAUUAUGGGUUGAUUAUGUUUAUUUGUUCAUCACCCUCUAUGUUGUUAUUUUGGAAUGUGAAUGUGUGCUUAGGAGAAUGGUUGGGUUGAUUCAAUUGUAAAUAAAGUUAAACAUCACAAGAGAAGUGUGUGAGGGGAAAAUUCAGUGUUUUUUCUUUCGUUGUAGAUAUUCAUGUUUUUGUUAUUUCAUAAUUGAGGAAGAAGG